rnacentral:rRNA from 1 species
AGAAUUCACUAGUGAUUCAGGCCUAACACAUGCAAGUCGAACGGUAACGUGGGGCAACCUGGCGACGAGUGGCGAACGGGUGAGUAACGCAUCGGAACGUGCCCAGUAGUGGGGGAUAGCUCGGCGAAAGCCGGAUUAAUACCGCAUACGACCUACGGGUGAAAGGGGGGGAUCGCAAGACCUCUCGCUAUUGGAGCGGCCGAUGUCAGAUUAGGUAGUUGGUGGGGUAAAGGCCUACCAAGCCGACGAUCUGUAGCUGGUCUGAGAGGACGACCAGCCACACUGGGACUGAGACACGGCCCAGACUCCUACGGGAGGCAGCAGUGGGGAAUUUUGGACAAUGGGCGAAAGCCUGAUCCAGCCAAGCCGCGUGCGGGAAGAAGGCCUUCGGGUUGUACCUUUAGGUGUCAGGGAAGAAAUCUUCUGGGUUAAUACCUCGGGAGGAUGAC